GUGGAGAGCCAAAGGGAUGUGUUGGAGACCCUAAAAGUGGCACAGUCCCAAGGGACACAGUGGGGACCCUAAAGGUGGCACAGCCCCAAAGGGACACAGUGGGGACUCACAGGGACAGUGGGGACCCAAAGGGACACAGUGGGGACCCUAAAGGUGUUGCAGUCCCAAAGGGACACAGUGGGGACCCAAAGGGACAGUGGGGAACCUAAAGGUGGCACAGCCCCAAAGGGACACAGUGGGGACUCACAGGGACAGUGGGGACCCAAAGGGACACAUUUGGGACCCUGAAGGUGGCACAGCCCAAAGGGGGACACUGGGGACCCUAAAGGUGUUAGAGUCCCAAACGGACACAGUGGGGACCCUGAAGGUGUCACGGCCCCAAAGGGACACAGUGGGGACCCAAAGGGACAGCGGGGACCCUAAAGGUGUCGCAGUCCCAAAGGGCCACAGUGGGGACCCUAAAGGUGUUGCAGUCCCAAAGGGACACAGUGGGGACCCAAAGGGACAGUGGGGACCC